rnacentral:lncRNA from 1 species
AGUUAGCCGAUGAUACUGUCGCUGUGGUGCCCAUUGUGUGUUGCAGUAAAGGUCUUGGAUAAUUUAGUCAAGACUCCAAUUAUGUAUGGAAAGAAAGCGUGAACUGCUGUAAGAGCAUUAUUAAUGAUUGGAGAGAUUCUGCCUACGGAGACUCCUCUGGGUCAUAAGAAACUCAAGUAAAUCUGCUAUAGUGACCAAGAUUCUAUCCACAGUCCUCUGAAGCAUGAGGUAGCAGUGCAGUAUUGAGCAUGGUGAUGGAACCUGGACUCACCUUGAUGCAUAUAACCUCAGAGAAAGCAGGUUCCUGGGCUGAGACGACGAGGGUGGUGGAGUAAGUGGAGGGCGUAAGUCUGGGCACCCACACCAGGGUACUGAUGUAUCUGUAAAUUUUUAGAUUUGCU